CAAGUUAAUAAGAGCUAUUGGUGGAUGCCUUGGCAUUGAAAGGCGAUGAAGGAUGCGUUUACCUGCAAUAAUCUUCGGCGAGCUGGUAUAAAGCUAUGACCCGGAGGUGUCCGAAUGGGAAAACCCGAUAGAUUAAUAUUCUAUCAUUGUAUGCUGAAUUCAUAGGCAUACAAGGCAAUACCUACUGAACUGAAACAUCUUAGUAAGUAGAGGAAAAGAAAUCAAAGAGAUUCCCUGUGUAGCGGCGAGCGAAAGGGGAUAAGUCUAAACCAUAUUUUUAAUAUGGGGUUGUAGGGUCGAUAACAUGAGAUCUUAAGUUUUAGUUGAAUACUUCUGGAAAGUUGAACAAUAUAGGGUGAUAGUCCCGUAAACGAAAAAACAAAAGACUUUAUUCGAUACCUGAGUAGGGCUAGACACGUGAAACCUAGUCUGAAUCUGGGGAGACCACUCUCCAAGACUAAAUACUAAUCAAUGACCUAUAGUGAACCAGUACUGUGAAGGAAAGGUGAAAAGAACCCUUGUUAAGGGAGUGAAAUAGAACCUGAAACCAGUAGCUUAUAAGCGGUCGAAGACCUAUAACUCUUCGGAGUCAUGGUUGACGGCGUG
rnacentral:rRNA from 1 species